rnacentral:rRNA from 1 species
GAUGAACGCUGGCGGCGUGCCUAAUACAUGCAAGUCGAGCGAACGGACGAGAAGCUUGCCUCUCUGAUGUUAGCGGCGGACGGGUGAGUAACACGUGGAUAACCUACCUAUAAGACUGGGAUAACUUCGGGAAACCGUAGCUAAUACCGGAUAAUAUUUUGAACCGCAUGGUUCAAAAGUGAAAGACGGUCUUGCUGUCACUUAUAGAUGGAUCCGCGCUGCAUUAGCUAGUUGGUAAGGUAACGGCUUACCAAGGCAACGAUGCAUAGCCGACCUGAGAGGGUGAUCGGCCACACUGGAACUGAGACACGGUCCAGACUCCUACGGGAGGCAGCAGUAGGGAAUCUUCCGCAAUGGGCGAAAGCCUGACGGAGCAACGCUGCGUGAGUGAUGAAGGUCUUCGGAUCGUAAAACUCUGUUAUUAGGGAAGAACAUAUGUGUAAGUAACUGUGCACAUCUUGACGGUACCUAAUCAGAAAGCCACGGCUAACUACGUG